rnacentral:rRNA from 1 species
UACGUAGGGGGCUAGCGUUGUCCGGAAUCAUUGGGCGUAAAGCGCGUGUAGGCGGUUCGGUAAGUCCGCUGUGAAAGUCGGGGGCUCAACCCUCGGAUGCCGGUGGAUACUGUCGGACUAGAGUACGGAAGAGGCGAGUGGAAUUCCUGGUGUAGCGGUGAAAUGCGCAGAUAUCAGGAGGAACACCGGUGGCGAAGGCGGGUCUCUGGGCCGAUACUGACGCUGAGGAGCGAAAGCGUGGGGAGCGAACAGG